rnacentral:rRNA from 1 species
UGGGGAAUUUUGGACAAUGGGCGAAAGCCUGAUCCAGCAAUGCCGCGUGUGUGAAGAAGGCCUUCGGGUUGUAAAGCACUUUUGUCCGGAAAGAAAUCCUUGGCUCUAAUACAGUCGGGGGAUGACGGUACCGGAAGAAUAAGCACCGGCUAACUACGUGCCAGCAGCCGCGGUAAUACGUAGGGUGCAAGCGUUAAUCGGAAUUACUGGGCGUAAAGCGUGCGCAGGCGGUUUGCUAAGACCGAUGUGAAAUCCCCGGGCUCAACCUGGGAACUGCAUUGGUGACUGGCAGGCUAGAGUAUGGCAGAGGGGGGUAGAAUUCCACGUGUGAGCAGUGAAAUGCGUAGAGAUGUGGAGGAAUACCGAUGGCGAAGGCAGCCCCCUGGGCAAUACUGACGCUCAUGCACGAAAGCGUGGGGAGCAAACAGGAUU